AGCAGCGUGGCUCAGUGGAAAGAGCCUGGGCCUGGGAGUCAGAGGUCAUGGGUUCGAAUCCCGGCUCUGCCG
rfam:Ornithorhynchus anatinus chromosome 3, whole genome shotgun sequence.